GUUCCCGCGCUCCCGGAGCUGAGCAGCCGGCGGAGACAAAGGGGGCAAGCUCAGGAAGCCUAGGCUCGGCCAACUGCCUUACAGUAAAUCACCUUUCACGUUCCUAGGAGACGCUUCCAGGGCAUACUUCCCACUCUGCUUUCUGCUACAAGAUGACGGAGAUGGCAAGAUGACGUUGUGCCUACUCGCUUCACAGGAGAGAGCUUUAGGGUCUGUGGCCCUGAGAAGGUCAAGAACCACUGCCCACGGAAGAAUGUUGGUGAGGUAAGCAGGCAGGGGAGCUAGGAGGAAUGAGGGGCUGGCACAUCAUGAAAAUAUUCAAGGUGACUGAUGGAGAGGACCGCAUGGUAAGUAAAGACUGAGGCCGCAUGCCAACCACCGUGUGAGUGCACCAUCUUGGAAGUGGGUCCCCCAAACACAGCCAACUUCUUGACUGUAUCCUCAUAAGAAACCCCAAACCAGAAGCACCCAGUUAAAUUGCCCCAGAUUCUUGGCCCACAGACACCGUGUAUAGUAAAUGUUCAUUGUUUUAAGACAGUGAGUUUUGGGGUAAUUUGUAACAGAGCAAGAAUUUACUGAUCCCUCUAAUGUAUUCCAACUCCA